UAUACGGUGCUCGCGCUUCGCGCAUGCGCCCAGUGAGUCACUCGCGAUGGAGGCCCUUUGAAUCUAUUUUACGAUGACAGUACCGAAAUGGUGAUUGACACCUCAGUAAAAGGAUUUGUACAUAACGAGAAUUCCAAAUUAUAUCGUGGGUAAACAGAAUAUCUCAAAUGUUUAACAAGAUUUUCUCAUCUGAGCCUGAAACAACGACGAAACCUGAGUAAACUUUUAACGUAUCGACAAUUUUUAAAGCGUUAGCAUAUAAUUGCCGACACCUAGAUGAAGCUGCCUUUUAUCCCAGGCCAACCAUAGUACGGUACCUUCAUUGAUAGUGACUUUUUUUUUUAAUAUUCCGGACAAGUAUUAAUUUAUAACGCCGCUUCAUGCCGACCGAAGACGAUAAUUUGAAGUGACAUCACCCCAAAUAGAACGCAGUCUCAUAGUCAUGUUGGUUAGUCCUAUAGGCCUACAGUAUUGGGCAAGUGAAGAUGGCAGCGUUUGACAGCAAGUGAGGACAUGUCAGGCUUUAGCCCUAGGCACGGCAAUGGUAGCUCA